AUUGAACGCUGGCGGCAGGCCUAACACAUGCAAGUCGAACGAGUGGCGGACGGGUGAGUAAUGUAUGGGAAACUGCCUGAUGGAGGGGGAUAACUACUGGAAACGGUAGCUAAUACCGCAUACUAUCGGAUGUACCCAUAUGGGAUUAGCUAGUAGGUGGGGUAAAGGCUCACCUAGGCGACGAUCCCUAGCUGGUCUGAGAGGGUGACCAGCCACACUGGAACUGAGACACGGACCAGACUCCUACGGGAGGCAGCAGUGGGGAAUAUUGCACAAUGGGCGCAAGCCUGAUGCAGCCAUGCCGCGUGUAUGAAGAAGGCCUUCGGGUUGUAAAGUACUUUCAGCGGGGAGGCGUUACCCGCAGAAGAAGCACCGGCUAACUCCGUGCCAGCAGCCGCGGUAAUAC
rnacentral:rRNA from 1 species